rnacentral:lncRNA from 7 species
ACCUUACGAUUGGGAGAAUAGUGCCUCAGUUGAUGAUCCACGCAAUUCCGAUGUUCGCCGCCGGGAAGUCGGGAGGCACCGCCCACACCUGUCGUGUGGAGAAUAUGGGAGGAAGCGUUGAUUUUUCGGUGGACGGCUCAGAUUGAAUGUGUGUUCCCCUUCGCAGGUUUGAUCUGAGCGGUUGGAUCCGAUCUGAUGGCCCUGGUGGGAUCACGACUAUUUAAAAUAUGGGUCGUAGAUCUCAGAACGUACGGUUCUGAUUAGAUCAUGUGUAACGUUUCGGCCAGGAUCUAUGUUGAUCGUAGAUUUUUGAUCGGGUGGUUGUAAGCUCAUGUUGCUCAAGAUCCAUUUUGGAAGGUAGGAUCGGGAUCCAUUGACCCAGACUGCGUACCGAUUCAUAACCACGCCGCUCUAAUCUGGGCCACUAAUAUCUGAUCGGUUGGCUCACAACAAAAGUUACCCUUUCGGUCUAGUAAAAUUGUUAAAGCAACCCCCUGGUUUCUAUUAUUCAACCCGCCAUACACGCCAGUUCAAAAGUAAUUCCAAUUAGGCCCUUUUAUUCGCAGAUUCUACCCUAAGCUUCUGGAAAAAUUGUGGUCGUGGCCCAAAGGUUAAUAAAAUGGGUAAAAUUAAUAAAGAAAUUGAUUUUUAGUAUAAAAUAAUUCUAGAAACUUGCUUAAGUCAUAUUUAAUUCAUUUUAACUCCUUUUUUAUCCAUUCCAGUUGCAUUAGAUUCAUAAUUGUAACUCCAAAUUUAGUGAUUCUCGAACCUACGAUCUCGUUAUGAUAUGUAGAACAUUAUUAUGUAGUUGGUGCUUAUGUUUGGUGUGAUGUUAAUUUUGCAUAUACCAUGUUUGUUUGUAUUGCUACGAGUAGCAGCGAGGUUGCGAGUCAGUUGAAGUACAAGUUGGUACCUGGGGAUCUCAAGUCUAAGGCAAGUUGUGCCCUUGAUCACUCUUCUUUACCUAAUAAUGUUCCUGUUAAUCACUAUGACAUGCUCAGGUUAAUCUGAUGGGACCUAAUAGGUUUCCCUAGACUUGUUUAUCCCAAACAUUGUUUACCACUGAACUUUUAGGUAGUUUUGCUAUUGCUCUACCUGGUUUUGGGAUUGAUAUUACAUUAUGAUCAUGUUCCAGUUAUACUGUUGUUUAAUUAUUGUUCAUGACAAGAUCAUUGUGUUAAUUGGAACAUGGAGCUUAACUUGAGAUAUCCGUGCUACCACAAGGGUGGAAUGGGACGCCCUUGGCUGACUAAUUAGGAAAGCUAGUGGAGGACUAUCUUACCGGAAAGGGGCAAGGGCGGUAGAGGAGCUACGUAUAGGGAGGUUCUCGGGUCAAUCAUGUUGCGAUGGCUUUUCGGAUGAGGGAUUCCUAUAUUGCCCUUCUUAGAAACUGUAGCGGGUUUUCUGAAGCUAAUGGAACUUUGAAAAGGCCUCAUAGUGGAUCCCUAGCCAUUCACCUCAGAAGUGUCUAAGUGUGUAGCUAAGCCUGGCUAGACGAGAUACACGACUUGUGGGUAAAGGGCGCAACCUCUGCAGAGUGUAAAACUGGUAUAUCAGCUAUGCUCGCGGUCAUGAGCAGCUCAGGACUCUCGCAUGAUUAAUUUAUGGAACUAAACUUAAUCUGUCAUAUGCACUUCAUCGUGGGUGUUAUUGCCAAUUUUCAUAUCUUACUUAAUUGGGUUGGUAUUUACUUAUACUUAGUAACC